GGAGGGGUGCCGGAGUGGUCGAACGGGGCGGUCUCGAAAACCGUUGUAGGGGCAACCCUACCGAGGGUUCGAAUCCCUCUCCCUCCGCCA
rnacentral:tRNA from 1 species